GAUGAAGAACGCAGCGAAAUGCGAUAAGUAAUGUGAAUUGCAGAAUUCAGUGAAUCAUCGAAUCUUUGAACGCACAUUGCGCCCGCCAGUAUUCUGGCGGGCAUGCCUGUUCGAGCGUCAUUUCAACCAUCAAGCCCCCGGCUUGUGUUGGGGACCUGCGGCUGCCGCAGGCCCUGAAAACCAGUGGCGGGCUCGCUAGUCACUCCGAGCGUAGUAAUACAUCUCGCUCAGGGCGUGCUGCGGGUUCCGGCCGUUAAAAAAGCCUUAUUUACCCAAGGUUGACCUCGGAUCAGGUAGGAAGACCCGCUGAACUUAAGCAUACCAAUAAGCGGAGGA
rnacentral:misc_RNA from 1 species